UCCUACGGGAGGCAGCAGUGAGGAAUAUUGGUCAAUGGGCGUAAGCCUGAACCAGCCAAGUAGCGUGCAGGAUGACGGCCCUAUGGGUUGUAAACUGCUUUUGUCAGGGAACAAAGUGAGGGACGUGUCCCUUUUUGCGUGUACCUGUCGAAUAAGGACCGGCUAAUUCCGUGCCAGCAGCCGCGGUAAUACGGAAGGUCCGGGCGUUAUCCGGAUUUAUUGGGUUUAAAGGGAGCGUAGGCCGAAGGCUAAGCGUGUUGUGAAAUGUAGUCGCUCAACGGGUGCACUGCAGCGCGAACUGGCUUUCUUGAGUGCGCGGAAAGUUGGCGGAAUUCGUUGUGUAGCGGUGAAAUGCUUAGAUAUGACGAAGAACUCCGAUUGCGAAGGCAGCUGACUGUAGCGUAACUGACGCUGAAGCUCGAAAGCGUGGGUAUCGAACAGGAUUAGAUACCCUGGUAGUCC
rnacentral:rRNA from 1 species